UUAAUAUGCUGAGCUAUUUGGCCUUAUUCAGGUCAGACAUUCCAGACUCCGUGUCCUAUGUCUUCCACAGGCUAAUAAAGCUUGUGUGUCUUGCCUUGGCCUCCUUGAGUAAAUAUUUGACCUUUGCUGCAACAAAGUGACAGCU